CAGCGGCGGACGGGUGAGUAACACGUGGGCAACCUGCCUGUAAGACUGGGAUAACUCCGGGAAACCGGGGCUAAUACCGGAUAACUCUUUUCCUCACAUGAGGAAAAGCUGAAAGAUGGUUUCGGCUAUCACUUACAGAUGGGCCCGCGGCGCAUUAGCUAGUUGGUGAGGUAACGGCUCACCAAGGCCACGAUGCGUAGCCGACCUGAGAGGGUGAUCGGCCACACUGGGACUGAGACACGGCCCAGACUCCUACGGGAGGCAGCAGUAGGGAAUCUUCCGCAAUGGACGAAAGUCUGACGGAGCAACGCCGCGUGAGUGAUGAAGGUUUUCGGAUCGUAAAACUCUGUUGUCAGGGAAGAACAAGUACCGGAGUAACUGCCGGUACCUUGACGGUACCUGACCAGAAAGCCACGGCUAACUACGUGCCAGCAGCCGCGGUAAUACGUAGGUGGCAAGCGUUGUCCGGAAUUAUUGGGCGUAAAGCGCGCGCAGGCGGUUCCUUAAGUCUGAUGUGAAAGCCCCCGGCUCAACCGGGGAGGGUCAUUGGAAACUGGGGAACUUGAGUGCAGAAGAGAAGAGUGGAAUUCCACGUGUAGC
rnacentral:rRNA from 1 species